rnacentral:rRNA from 1 species
UUCUGGUUGAUCCUGCCAGAGGCGACCGCUUUUGGAGUUCGAUUAAGCCAUGCGAGUAGAAAGAAAUUAGAUUCUUUGCAAACUGCUCAGUAACACGUGGAUAACCUGCCCUAUGCUCCGGAAUAACCUCGGGAAACUGAGAAUAAUACCGGAUAGAUCACAACGCCUGGAACGGUGUGUGGUUCAAAGGUCACGGCAUAGGAUGGGUCUGCGGCGUAUCAGGUCGUAGGGGGUGUAACGGACCUCCUAGCCAUCGACGCGUACGGGUGUUGGGAGACAUAGCCCGGAGAUGGAUUCUGAGACACGAAUCCAGACCCUACGGGGUGCAGCAGGCGCGAAAACUUCACACUGCAGGAAACUGUGAUGAGGGAACUCCAAGUGCGCGCACUUAGUGUGCGCUUUUCUUGACUAUUAAUCGGUCAUGGAAUAAGGGCUGGGAAAGACCGGUGCCAGCCGCCGCGGUAAUACCGGCAGCUCAAGUGGUCGUCGCUUUUAUUGGGCCUAAAACGUCCGUAGCCUGUUUGGUAAAUCUGUGGGUAAAUCAACCAGCUUAACUGGUUGAAUUCUGCAGAGACUGCCAGACUAGGGACCGGGAGAGGUGUGGGGUACUCUAGGGGUAGGGGUAAAAUCCUGUCAUCCUUAGAGGACCACCAGUUGCGAAGGCGCCACACUGGAACGGAUCCGACGGUCAGGGACGAAGCCUAGGGGCACGAACCGGAUUAGAUACCCGGGUAGUCCUAGGUGUAAACGCUGUGAACUUGGUGUCGGGAGUCCGCAAUGGGCCCCCGGUGCCGGAGUGAAGAUGUUAAGUUCACUGCCUGGGGAGUACGGUCGCAAGGCUGAAACUUAAAGGAAUUGGCGGGGGAGCACUGCAACGGGAGGAGCGUGCGGUUUAAUUGGACUCAACGCCGGGA